AUUGAACGCUGGCGGCAGGCUUAACACAUGCAAGUCGAGCGGGGUGAUGGUGCUUGCACUAUCACUUAGCGGCGGACGGGUGAGUAAUGCUUAGGAAUCUGCCUAUUAGUGGGGGACGACAUCUCGAAAGGGAUGCUAAUACCGCAUACGUCCUACGGGAGAAAGCAGGGGAUCACUUGUGACCUUGCGCUAAUAGAUGAGCCUAAGUCGGAUUAGCUAGUUGGUGGGGUAAAGGCCUACCAAGGCGACGAUCUGUAGCGGGUCUGAGAGGAUGAUCCGCCACACUGGGACUGAGACACGGCCCAGACUCCUACGGGAGGCAGCAGUGGGGAAUAUUGGACAAUGGGGGGAACCCUGAUCCAGCCAUGCCGCGUGUGUGAAGAAGGCCUUAUGGUUGUAAAGCACUUUAAGCGAAGAGGAGGCUCUUUUGGUUAAUACCCAAGAUGAGUGGACGUUACUCGCAGAAUAAGCACCGGCUAACUCUGUGCCAGCCGCCGCAGUAA
rnacentral:rRNA from 1 species